ACCAGUCUGCCAAUGCUCUUUGACUAGAAAGAUAAAAUAUGCUCUCUAUACCCUGCUCCAACGCAAUUCGUCCACGGCGUACAGAACGGUAACAUGUCUCUCGAAAUAUCAUACGCUUUGGGAAGAUGGGUAGUAUGGCAAAACUGAGCGGA
rnacentral:ribozyme from 1 species